rnacentral:misc_RNA from 1 species
UGCAAGUAAGAGAGAAGAAAGCUCUAGCCUGCAAGCCUCAUCUAAGUCAUCUCUCCAGCUCCUCUGUAUAAAGGCUAACCUCUUUUGCCUCUACUAUACGCAGCGAAAACCACCGCAAAAGCACCACCCAACACAGAAAAAGACAUUUAUAAACGAUUAAUCAAGAAAAAAGUGAAGCACUGAUGAUGAAUGACCAAAAGGUGCCGCCACCGGAGGUGGCUGUCCAGCUACCGGAGUCCAAGGUGGCCGCGACGGAGAACAGUGGCACAAUGAGUGGACCGCUGAUAAGGACGCCGAGGUCUUUUGGCCGGAAAGCUGAAGUCUUGCACGCGGCACUUAGGUUGUUGUGCAUGGUGACAUCUGUGGCAGCACUGUCGUUUAUGGUCACAGCCCAUCAGUCCAGCUCUGUCUCCAUCUAUGGAUUUAUGCUUCCUGUUUACUCAAAGUGGU